GUUUGCGUAGCUUAAAAUAAAGCAUGACACUGAAGAUGUUAGGAUAAGCCCUAGAAAGCUUCACGAACA
rnacentral:tRNA from 1 species